rnacentral:rRNA from 1 species
UAGUCCACGCCGUAAACGAUGAUCACUAGCUGUCGGCAAUAAAGUGUCGGUGGUCAAGCGAAAGUAAUAAGUGAUCCACCUGGGGAGUACGCUGGCAACAGUGAAACUCAAAGGAAUUGACGGAGGCCCGCACAAGCGGUGGAGCAUGUGGUUUAAUUCGAUGAUACGCGAGGAACCUUACCAGGGCUUAAAUGUAGAAUGACAGUUGUGGAAACACAUCCUUCUUCGGACAUUCUACAAGGUGCUGCAUGGUUGUCGUCAGCUCGUGCCGUGAGGUGUCGGGUUAAGUCCCAUAACGAGCGCGACCCCUAUCUUUAGUUGCCAGCGGUUCGGCCGGGGACUCUAAAGAAACUGCCCGUGUAAACGGAGAGGAAGGUGGGGAUGACGUCAAAUCAUCACGGCCCUUACGUCCUGGGCUACACACGUGCUACAAUGGCAAGGACAGUGAGCAGCAAACCCGCGAGGGUGAGCCAAUCUAUAAACCUUGUCUCAGUUCGGAUCGGAGUCUGCAA